rnacentral:rRNA from 1 species
CCCGCGCCGUAUUAGCUAGUUGGUGGGGUAACGGCCUACCAAGGCGACGAUACGUAGCCGACCUGAGAGGGUGAUCGGCCACACUGGAACUGAGACACGGUCCAGACUCCUACGGGAGGCAGCAGUAGGGAAUCUUCCGCAAUGGGCGAAAGCCUGACGGAGCAACGCCGCGUGAGUGAUGAAGGUCUUCGGAUCGUAAAGCUCUGUUGUUAGGGAAGAAC